CUGCAGCUCAAGUGGUGACCGCUAUUAUUGGGCCUAAAACGUUCGUAGCCGGUUUGAUAAAUGCCUGGGUAAAUCGUGUAGCUUAACUAUACGAAUUCCGGGUAGACUGUCAAACUUGAGACCGGGAGAAGCUAGAGGUACUCCUGGGGUAGAGGUGAAAUUCUGUAAUCCUAGGGGGACCACCAGUGGCGAAGGCGUCUAGCUAGAACGGGUCUGACGGUGAGGAACGAAGCCCUGGGGCGCGAACCGGAUUAGAUACCCGAGUAGUCC
rnacentral:rRNA from 1 species